rnacentral:rRNA from 1 species
UUUUAGUCUUUUCAGAGGAACCUGUCCCGUAAUCGAUAAUCCACGUUAAACCUUACUUAUUUUUGUUAACAGCUUGUAUACCGCCGUCGUCAGAAUGUCCUAAGAAGGGUUUAAUUUUCUUGAAUUUUUAUUAAAAAUGAUGUCAGGUCAAGGUGUAGCUUACGAAUAAGUGGAGAUGGGUUACAAUAAAUUUAUUUAUAACGGAUAAGAAUUUGCAAUAAUUCUUUGAAGGUGGAUUUGAUGGUAAUUAACUUAAUUAAAUUAAUUUGAUUUUAGCUCUAAAACAUGCACACAUCGCCCGUCGCUCUCGUUAAUUAAGGCGAGAUAAGUC